ACACACCACGCGGGGAAUCUCUGUCCGACACCGUCGGCCGGGACUGAGAUGGGCGGGAGAACCGUCCGGACCCGUUGAACCUGAUCUCGCCAGAACGAGCGGAGGAACGUGGCAUGACUGCCGU
rnacentral:ncRNA from 1 species